UACAGAGGUCUCGAGCGUUAGGCGGAAUCACUGGGCUUAAAGCGUGUGUAGGCGGAUCGGUAAGUACCUUGUGAAAUCCCACAGCUUAACUGUGGAACUGCUUGGUAUACUGCCAGUCUUGAGCCAGCUAGGGGCGACCGGAACAAAUGGUGGAGCGGUGAAAUGCGUAGAUAUCAUUUGGAACGCCAAUGGUGAAAACAGGUAGCUGGGAGUGUGCUGACACUGAGACACGAAAGCCAGGGGAGCAAACGGG
rnacentral:rRNA from 1 species